CCUACGGGAGUCAGCAGUGAGGAAUAUUGGUCAAUGGACGAGAGUCUGAACCAGCCAAGUAGCGUGAAGGAUGACUGCCCUAUGGGUUGUAAACUUCUUUUAUAUGGGAAUAAAAUGUUCCACGUGUGGGAUUUUGUAUGUACCAUAUGAAUAAGGAUCGGCUAACUCCGUGCCAGCAGCCGCGGUAAUACGGAGGAUCCGAGCGUUAUCCGGAUUUAUUGGGUUUAAAGGGAGCGUAGGUGGAUUGUUAAGUCAGUUGUGAAAGUUUGCGGCUCAACCGUAAAAUUGCAGUUGAAACUGGCAGUCUUGAGUACAGUAGAGGUGGGCGGAAUUCGUGGUGUAGCGGUGAAAUGCUGAGAUAUCACGAAGAACUCCGAUGGCGAAGGCAGUUCACUGGACUGCAACUGACACUGAGGCUCGAAAGUGUGGGUAUCAAACAGGAUUAGAUACCCGAGUAGUC
rnacentral:rRNA from 1 species